GGUUAAGCGACUAAGCGUACACGGUGGAUGCCCUGGCAGUCAGAGGCGAUGAAGGGCGUGCUAAUCUGCGAUAAGCGCCGGUAAGGUGAUAUGAACCGUUAUAACCGGCGAUACCCGAAUGGGGAAACCCAGUGUGACUCGUCACACUAUCAUUAACUGAAUCCAUAGGUUAAUGAGGCGAACCGGGGGAACUGAAACAUCUAAGUACCCCGAGGAAAAGAAAUCAACCGAGAUUCCCCCAGUAGCGGCGAGCGAACGGGGAGGAGCCCAGAGCCUGAAUCAGCAUGUGUGUUAGUGGAAGCGUCUGGAAAGGCGCGCGAUACAGGGUGACAGCCCCGUACACAAAAGCGCAUGUGCUGUGAGCUCGAUGAGUAGGGCGGGACACGUGGUAUCCUGUCUGAAUAUGGGGGGACCAUCCUCCAAGGCUAAAUACUCCUGACUGACCGAUAGUGAACCAGUACCGUGAGGGAAAGGCGAAAAGAACCCCGGCGAGGGGAGUGAAAAAGAACCUGAAACCGUGUACGUACAAGCAGUGGGAGCACAGGUUUACCUGUGUGACUGCGUACCUUUUGUAUAAUGGGUCAGCGACUUAUAUUCUGUAGCAAGGUUAACCGAAUAGGGGAGCCGGAGGGAAACCGAGUCUUAAUUGGGCGUUAAGUUGCAGGGUAUAGACCCGAAACCCGGUGAUCUAGCCAUGGGCAGGUUGAAGGUUGGGUAACACUAACUGGAGGACCGAACCGACUAAUGUUGAAAAAUUAGCGGAUGACCUGUGGCUGGGGGUGAAAGGCCAAUCAAACCGGGAGAUAGCUGGUUCUCCCCGAAAGCUAUUUAGGUAGCGCCUCGUGAAUUCAUCUCCGGGGGUAGAGCACUGUUUCGGCUAGGGGGCCAUCCCGGCUUACCAACCCGAUGCAAACUGCGAAUACCGGAGAAUGUUAUCACGGGAGACACACGGCGGGUGCUAACGUCCGUCGUGAAGAGGGAAACAACCCAGACCGCCAGCUAAGGUCCCAAAGUCAUGGUUAAGUGGGAAACGAUGUGGGAAGGCCCAGACAGCCAGGAUGUUGGCUUAGAAGCAGCCAUCAUUUAAAGAAAGCGUAAUAGCUCACUGGUCGAGUCGGCCUGCGCGGAAGAUGUAACGGGGCUAAACCAUGCACCGAAGCUGCGGCAGCGAACGUAUCACUUAAAGCGAUUCAGCGGGUUACGAUUGACGGAGCGAAGCGACGUCAAAGCGUAUACAAAGUCGAGUCGGUUUAAGGAUACGUUCGUUGGGUAGGGGAGCGUUCUGUAAGCCUGUGAAGGUGGCCUGUGAGGGUUGCUGGAGGUAUCAGAAGUGCGAAUGCUGACAUAAGUAACGAUAAAGCGGGUGAAAAGCCCGCUCGCCGGAAGACCAAGGGUUCCUGUCCAACGUUAAUCGGGGCAGGGUGAGUCGACCCCUAAGGCGAGGCCGAAAGGCGUAGUCGAUGGGAAACGGGUUAAUAUUCCCGUACUUGGUGUUACUGCGAAGGGGGGACGGAGAAGGCUAUGUUGGCCGGGCGACGGUUGUCCCGGUUUAAGCGUGUAGGUGUGUGUUCCAGGUAAAUCCGGUUCACUUUAACACUGAGGCGUGACGACGAGGCACUACGGUGCUGAAGCAACAAAUGCCCUGCUUCCAGGAAAAGCCUCUAAGCAUCAGGUAACAUCAAAUCGUACCCCAAACCGACACAGGUGGUCAGGUAGAGAAUACCAAGGCGCUUGAGAGAACUCGGGUGAAGGAACUAGGCAAAAUGGUGCCGUAACUUCGGGAGAAGGCACGCUGACACGUAGGUGAAGUGAUUUACUCAUGGAGCUGAAGUCAGUCGAAGAUACCAGCUGGCUGCAACUGUUUAUUAAAAACACAGCACUGUGCAAACACGAAAGUGGACGUAUACGGUGUGACGCCUGCCCGGUGCCGGAAGGUUAAUUGAUGGGGUCAGCGCAAGCGAAGCUCCUGAUCGAAGCCCCGGUAAACGGCGGCCGUAACUAUAACGGUCCUAAGGUAGCGAAAUUCCUUGUCGGGUAAGUUCCGACCUGCACGAAUGGCGUAAUGAUGGCCAGGCUGUCUCCACCCGAGACUCAGUGAAAUUGAACUCGCUGUGAAGAUGCAGUGUACCCGCGGCAAGACGGAAAGACCCCGUGAACCUUUACUAUAGCUUGACACUGAACAUUGAGCCUUGAUGUGUAGGAUAGGUGGGAGGCUUUGAAGUGUGGACGCCAGUCUGCAUGGAGCCGACCUUGAAAUACCACCCUUUAAUGUUUGAUGUUCUAACGUGGACCCGUAAUCCGGGUUGCGGACAGUGUCUGGUGGGUAGUUUGACUGGGGCGGUCUCCUCCUAAAGAGUAACGGAGGAGCACGAAGGUUGGCUAAUCCUGGUCGGACAUCAGGAGGUUAGUGCAAUGGCAUAAGCCAGCUUGACUGCGAGCGUGACGGCGCGAGCAGGUGCGAAAGCAGGUCAUAGUGAUCCGGUGGUUCUGAAUGGAAGGGCCAUCGCUCAACGGAUAAAAGGUACUCCGGGGAUAACAGGCUGAUACCGCCCAAGAGUUCAUAUCGACGGCGGUGUUUGGCACCUCGAUGUCGGCUCAUCACAUCCUGGGGCUGAAGUAGGUCCCAAGGGUAUGGCUGUUCGCCAUUUAAAGUGGUACGCGAGCUGGGUUUAGAACGUCGUGAGACAGUUCGGUCCCUAUCUGCCGUGGGCGCUGGAGAACUGAGGGGGGCUGCUCCUAGUACGAGAGGACCGGAGUGGACGCAUCACUGGUGUUCGGGUUGUCAUGCCAAUGGCACUGCCCGGUAGCUAAAUGCGGAAGAGAUAAGUGCUGAAAGCAUCUAAGCACGAAACUUGCCCCGAGAUGAGUUCUCCCUGAGACUUAGAGUCUCCUGAAGGAACGUUGAAGACGACGACGUUGAUAGGCCGGGUGUGUAAGCGCAGCGAUGCGUUGAGCUAACCGGUACUAAUGAACCGUGAGGCUUAACCUU
rnacentral:rRNA from 2 species